rnacentral:rRNA from 1 species
AACGCGAAGAACCUUACCUACUCUUGACAUCCAGAGAACUUUCCAGAGAUGGUUUGGUGCCUUCGGGAACUCUAGACAGGUGCUGCAUGGCUGUCGUCAGCUCGUGUUGUGAAAUGUUGGGUUAAGUCCCGCAACGAGCGCAACCCUUAUCCUUUGUUGCCAGCGGUUCGGCCGGGAACUCAAAGGAGACUGCCAGUGAUAAACUGGAGGAAGGUGGGGAUGACGUCAAGUCAUCAUGGCCCUUACGAGUAGGGCUACACACGUGCUACAAUGGCAUAUACAAAGAGAAGCGACCUCGCGAGAGCAAGCGGACCUCAUAAAGUAUGUCGUAGUCCGGAUUGGAGUCUGCAACUCGACUCCAUGAAGUCGGAAUCGCUAGUAAUCGUAGAUCAGAAUGCUACGGUGAAUACGUUCCCGGGUCUUGUACACACGC